UACGUAGGUGACAAGCGUUAUCCGGAAUUACUGGGCGUAAAGCGCACGCAGGCGGCGCGGUAAGUCUGAUGUGAAAUCUCCCGGCUUAACUGGGAGGGGUCAUUGGAAACUGCCGAGCUUGGGGCGAUGAGAGGGGUGUAGAAUUCCCGGUGUAGUGGUGGAAUGCGUAGAUAUCGGGAGGAAUACCAGUGGCGAAAGCGGCACCCUGGCAUUAGCCUGACGCUCAUGUGCGAAGGCGUGGGGAGCGAACGGG
rnacentral:rRNA from 1 species